UGGCAUGGUAUGCCAAUCACAUUACCCGAGGAUCUGAAUGUAUAGCUGUCAAAAUCUUGUAAUAUGUUCUAUUGCAUUAUUUUUUCAGUUGUUCAUCACACUCAGAUAAGCACACAUCAAACUAAUUUUGUUUAGUUUCCGGCUUCUGUUUGUUUUCUGAAAUUUUACGGAUCAAAAAUGUGUAGCCCUUGUGGAUCGUGCUGCAGUCCCUGCUGCGGUCCGUGCUGCAGUCCUUGCUGCAGUCCUUGCUGCGGUCCGUGCUGCGGUCCUUGCUGCGGUCCUUGCUGUGGACCCUGCUGUGGACCCUGCUGUGAGCCGUGCUGUGAGCCGUGCUGUGGACCCUGCUAUGGACCCAAUGUCUGCGGACCGUGCGGUGCAACGGGACCCUGUGGAGGCUGUUGCUGAGCAAUAGGAAUUGCAAACGACAGGGUCUAAACCUUCCAUCACAAGUCCGAUGAAACCUACAGAAAGCUUGAAGCUAUCGUGUAGUCUCUACGAAUAAAGCAUUUACAAACACAAAAAUUUCACUAAUCACUAA